rnacentral:rRNA from 1 species
CAGUAGCCGCGGUAAUACGUAGGGUCCGAGCGUUGUCCGGAAUUAUUGGGCGUAAAGGGCUCGUAGGCGGUUUGUCGCGUCGGGAGUGAAAACCAGCAGCUUAACUGCUGGCCUGCUUUCGAUACGGGCAGACUUGAGGCAUUCAGGGGAGAGCGGAAUUCCUGGUGUAGCGGUGAAAUGCGCAGAUAUCAGGAGGAACACCGGUGGCGAAGGCGGUUCUCUGGGAAUGUUCUGACGCUGAGGAGCGAAAGUGUGGGGAGCGAACAGGAUUAGAUACCCCAGUAGUCCCUGUCUCUUAUAC